rnacentral:rRNA from 1 species
UACGGAGGAUCCAAGCGUUAUCCGGAUUUAUUGGGUUUAAAGGGUGCGUAGGCGGCCUAUUAAGUCAGGGGUGAAAGACGGUAGCUUAACUAUCGCAGUGCCCUUGAUACUGUUGGGCUUGAAUGUACUUGAGGUAGGCGGAAUGUGACAAGUAGCGGUGAAAUGCAUAGAUAUGUCACAGAACACCAAUUGCGAAGGCAGCUUACUAAAGUAUGAUUGACGCUGAGGCACGAAAGCGUGGGGAUCAAACAGG